UACGUAGGGGGCUAGCGUUGUUCGGAAUCAUUGGGCGUAAAGCGCACGUAGGCGGCUUUGUAAGUUAGAGGUGAAAGCCCAGGGCUCAACCCUGGAAUUGCCUUUAAGACUGCAUCGCUUGAAUCAUGGAGAGGUGAGUGGAAUUCCGAGUGUAGAGGUGAAAUUCGUAGAUAUUCGGAAGAACACCAGUGGCGAAGGCGACUCACUGGACAUGUAUUGACGCUGAGGUGCGAAAGCGUGGGGAGCAAACAGGAUUAGAUACCCGAGUAGU
rnacentral:rRNA from 1 species